rnacentral:rRNA from 1 species
UAUUGGACAAUGGGCGAAAGCCUGAUCCAGCAAUGCCGCGUGAGUGAUGAAGCCCUUAGGGUUGUAAAGCUCUUUUACCCGGGAUGAUAAUGACAGUACCGGGAGAAUAAGCUCCGGCUAACUCCGUGCCAGCAGCCGCGGUAAUACGGAGGGAGCUAGCGUUGUUCGGAAUUACUGGGCGUAAAGCGCGCGUAGGCGGUUUUUUAAGUCAGAGGUGAAAGCCCAGUGCUCAACACUGGAACUGCCUUUGAAACUGGAAAACUUGAAUCUUGGAGAGGUCAGUGGAAUUCCGAGUGUAGAGGUGAAAUUCGUAGAUAUUCGGAAGAACACCAGUGGCGAAGGCGACUGACUGGACAAGUAUUGACGCUGAGGUGCGAA